CACAAUUCAACCCCCCCUUCUUGUGUUUUUCACCUUCAAAUUGUAGCAAUCAAAGCUUUGUUUUUGAGUGGCUAAUGUUGUAUCUUAUUCGUUUUUGUAGAUUCCUCAUUUUGUGUAAUCUCCAAAUCCACAUAAGUGAGUUUUUAUUUCAUUCCUUACAACAUUUUGAUUUUCAUUUGCUUCCAUCCUAAAUGUUAUGUGGUUGUUAAUUCGCUAUUAUUUGGUUUUGGGAAUUCAUUAAAUGGGUUAUCAUUCAUGCCAAUAGAUUUGCCAGAUUAGGACUUAUUAUUCUAUGGUUUUUGUUUCUGGUUGAUUUCAAUUUUAUGGCUUCUUACUCUUAUGGUUUUUGUUUCUUUUUUAGUUUCUGGCCAUAUUAAUUUGAAUCGAGCUCAUGUAAAAAUUGUUAGUUUAUGAGAUAUGAAUUUGGAUUUAUGGUUUGGUCAUUUGGUGUUGUAAUUUGGAACAUUUUCUUCAAGAUUUUGUUUUUGGUCAUUGGGUGGAUGUGAUUAUGACCUUGAAUAUACCUGCUUUUUUGUUUUUAAAAGUUGUGUCUAUAGACUUUCCAGUUUGUUUUAAUUUAAGGGUUUAUGUUUUUCUUUUCCUUUCCCCUUAUCUUCUCCAACAAUACCUUCUUUUUUCUCCCUCAUCUUCUUAAAACACAAACAUCUCCACUUAAUUACAAUAUUUUUUAAUGAUUCAUUAUUCCUAUUUAUUUUUUUCCCUUUUCUUUUGUUAUGACCUGAUUAAAUCCUCUUCUAUUUGCAGUUCAGAUGUUGUAUUUGGUUUCCUAUUAGCAAAUCAACAAAUUUGAAGAGGUGCUUCAUUCCAUGUCUAUUUGUCCACAUCAGUUAGAAACUAUCAUCAUUUUAUUACAGCAAAGGAUACAGAUUCUCCAAAUCGCUUAGUUUUUGGUACGACAUCUUGAUUCCUUUAUCUUUUCUUUUUUCAGUUAGUCUUUUUCACAUCUUCAUCGUCAUGCCAAAACUGAUACAACAUUCUCUCUUCUGAUCUUUUUCUCAGUUUUUCCCCAUUGCCAUUUGCAAGCGGUUUGCAGUUCUAUACCAUUCGUGCUAUUACUACUAAUUUAUAAUAAAUAAUAUGUUGUUUCGUGAGGGGCUAUCUUUCACCUCUUUCGUCUCUAUUUGUUAUUUUGACAGGGGUGAGACAAGAAUAAGGAUGGAUAUUUUGAGGCAAAAAAAUUAUAUAUGGGUGUUCCACGGAUUUCUUUGCUUCCAACAUCUGAAAGUUUUCUUAGCAUUAAUUUUUGUCUGUUUUCAAAGGAAUACUUUUAUGCUGGACUUCACUAAUUUUUUUCCUUUCUCAGUUGAUAUCAGUCUCGCACAUGAGGUUGAAUCAAGCUCUACUAUGUUUUUCUUUUUUCAUUCACUUUUGCCUUCCACAUUUGAUUUCAUUUCUAACCGAUAAUACUUAUUUCUUUCGCAGUAAGUGUGAGAAGGGAGUUUAAAAUUACACAUUUGUUUAUGUUGUUUGGUUUCAUUUGCAGUGCAAAGGUUGACAAAUAUGCAAUGUGAGUUCUAUAAAAGUGUUAUCUUCAUCCUCAAAUCCUUCAAAUAAUGCCAUUCACAUGAAGUGGAGAACAAAGCCUCACCAGAGGGACUUGAAGAAUCUGAAACCUAAAGAAUUUUUUUUAUUGGUGCUAACUAAAGGGUCAAUUUGGGACUAAAUAAGUGUUUCGUUUUAUUGUAUGAUUUUAUAGUGCCUAAUGACUACAAGUUUUUUUUUUUUCUCUUGACCUUUCUUUGACAUGAAUUUUAAUGGUCAUAAUUUUUCUUGACCUUUCUUUAUAUAUUGAUGUAGUUUGUUAGGUAUUUAAUUCUACAUGAUUUUUUGGUCUACAUGUUUUGGCUUUGUCAUUUAGUUUGACCUCAACUUUGUAAAGGUUAUUCCAACUCCUUUCAACUUUUUAUAGUAGUUUUUUUAGGUA